UACAGGGGGGGCAAGCGUUGUUCGGAAUUACUGGGCGUAAAGGGUCAGUAGGCGGCCAACUAAGUCCGACGUGAAAUCCCAAAGCUUAACUUUGGAACUGCGUCGGAUACUGGAUGGCUUGAAUUCGGGAGAGGAACGCGGAAUUCCAGGUGUAGCGGUGAAAUGCGUAGAUAUCUGGAGGAACACCAAUGGCGAAGGCAGCCCCCUGGGUCGAUACUGACGCUCAUGCACGAAAGCGUGGGUAGCAAACAGG
rnacentral:rRNA from 1 species